UUAAGUUGUAAUUGUUUUAUUAAUAUUUUUUUGUUUGUUUUUAAUUGUAUUUUUAUUGUUAAUUAUAGAAUUUCACCCACUGUAUACCGUCUCAUAUUAAUAUCGAUCAAAUUCCGUCUUACCGUCUAACCACGUUCUGUAUAAUUAUAUAAU
rnacentral:sRNA from 1 species